rnacentral:rRNA from 1 species
GAUGAACGCUAGCGGCAGGCUUAAUACAUGCAAGUCGAGGGGCAGCAUGACUGUAGCAAUACAGUUGAUGGCGACCGGCAAACGGGUUCGGAACACGUACAGAACCUUCCUUCGAGCGGGGAAUAGCCCAGAGACAUUUGGAUUAAUACCCCAUAGUACAACGGCGUGGCAUCACUUUGUUGUCAAAGAUUUAUCACUUGAAGAUGGCUGUGCGGCGGAUUAGGUAGUUGGCGGGGGAACGGCCCACCAAGCCUGCGAUCAGUAACUGGUGUGAGAGCACGACCAGUCACACGGGCACUGAGACACGGGCCCGACUCCUACGGGAGGCAGCAGUAAGGAAUAUUGGUCAAUGGACGAAAGUCUGAACCAGCCAUGCCGCGUGGAGGAUGAAGGUCCUCUGGAUUGUAAACUUCUUUUAUAUGGGACGAAAAAAGGGUUUUCUAACUCGUCUGACGGUACCAUAUGAAUAAGCACCGGCUAACUCCGUGCCAGCAGCCGCGGUAAAAC